CAUUCCGAGGAGCGUUGCAACCGCAUGCCAAACAUGCGGCCAGGCUCGGGAUCGAAUCUUGCACCGCCGUUUCCACCCGAAACAGCUGCUGUGCCGAUUCAUUGCAACCGCGCUCACCCGCU
rfam:Paucibacter sp. KCTC 42545, complete genome.